rnacentral:rRNA from 1 species
GAUGAACGCUGGCGGCGUGCCUAAUACAUGCAAGUCGAGCGAACAGAUGAGGAGCUUGCUCCUCUGACGUUAGCGGCGGACGGGUGAGUAACACGUGGAUAACCUACCUAUAAGACUGGGAUAACUUCGGGAAACCGGAGCUAAUACCGGAUAAUAUAUUGAACCGCAUGGUUCAAUAGUGAAAGACGGUUUUGCUGUCACUUAUAGAUGGAUCCGCGCCGCAUUAGCUAGUUGGUAAGGUAACGGCCUACCAAGGCAACGAUGCGUAGCCGACCUGAGAGGGUGAUCGGCCACCCUGGAACUGGAACACGGUCCAGACUCCUACGGGAGGCAGCAGUAGGGAAUCUGCCGCAAUGGGCGAAAGCCUGACGGAGCAACGCCGCGUGAGUGAUGACGGUCUUCGGAUCGUAAAACUCUGUUAUUAGGGAAGAACAAAUGUGUAAGUAACUAUGCACGUCUUGACGGUACCUAAUCAGAAAGCCACGGCUAACUACGUG